rnacentral:lncRNA from 1 species
UUUUUUUUUUUUCUAAAAUGCACCACCUUCUAAGAUGAGAACUGGUGCUCCAGCCCUGAGCCCUGAGGACUGAAAGAGUGUUGAGUCCCAGGAAGGCACAGAAGGUGGCUGGCCCGUUACAACAGCCUGAGGGUAGACCCUCUUCUUUCCUUCCCCCAGUUCCACCUUGAGUCUUCUUGCCACAGGGCCUUCUUUGCAAAAAAAAUAAAAUAAAAAAAAAAUGAAACCCCAGACAAGGCAGGGCACCGCUGGCACUUUUCUGGGUAGGGGCGAGGAAGGCCAUCUCGCCUGCCUGGCCACACAUAGAAGGCAGAAGCCCAGUGAGGGCUUCUCCAGAGGUGGGUCGCCAAUUGGGCAUUUUGAUAUUACCUCAUUCCAUGAUUUUACGUUUCCCGAUGACUGAUGCUUUAUUUAUGCUGUUUGUCCUGUAACUAAACCACCCACAGACAUUUCGCUUUGCUUGUUCGUUCAUACGACCUUGUUCGGGUUUAAAUAUGCUGGUUUGUAUUUUCCUGCCUUGGGAUUUUGUGUCAGCUGUACAGUAUUCUAAGGGGAAAAGGAGACAGAGAAGCGUGUAAAGUAACGGAGAGAGGUGCCUAUAAUGGAGAGACCUCUUUCUAAUAAAGAAAAGAAAAUAUGUAUACAGUGCUUCUGUGGAGUGUCUUCUUGCUACCCAUUUGUCACAAUUAAUUGGCUUCCUGCUCCCAGAAGAGGUAAAUCAGAGAAGAGGGGCUUCAGUGACUGCCCAAGGGAGACUUGUCCUAGACACAGGCCACCCUUAUUUGAAGGCCCUAGUCCCUCAGCCUGCAGCCAGAGACCCAGGAAAUAGAACCUCAGAAGCUGGGCAGGCGGCUCCCCCAUAACUCAAUCACAGGAACAGAAAGGCCCUAAUAAGGGUGAGUUUGGCAGUUCCCAAAGCUCUGUGGGGGGAGGGGAGGCUCAGUAUUGCCCCACCCACCUUCCCCACAAGAGUGAUAGCAAUGCCAUGGACUGCUGGGGAAGCAUCACUCCCAGUUCAGAAAAGGUAAGAGCUCCCACCCCGGACAUACCCACACACACUCCCAUCCAGGACACACACACCCGGACACACCCACACAGACACUCCCAUCCAGGACACACACACCCGGACACACCCACACAGACACUCCCAUCCCGGACACCCAUGCCCAGCACUCAGCACAGGGUUCCGGGUAAGACCAAUGGGUGCUUCUGUGAGGAUACUGUCUGUGGUCCCUUUCCCAUGGCACAAUUGCUUAUAGUACACAGGGUACCACGUGGACCAUCACAGCCACCAGAGUGUGACGGUUAAAGAGGCUUUGGGGGGGAGGGGUGCACCAAAACAUGCUGGUUAUCUCUUAGGUGAGAGAUUUACAAAGCGGGGUGAAUAAACUGAAGGUCACUCUUCCACACGAAUGACUGCCUGGACAGGUCAGUGUGCUCUGGGCCUGUCCUCACCAAACCUUUGGUACUGUAACCUCCUAGUAUCUAGAAUGCUUCUCUCCAGGGUCUGUAUUCCAGCUAGAUGGACAGACAGGAUAAAGCAAUAGAAAUAAUCCCUCCUGGCCUUGUUUAUACCACUGGGUGGAUAGGCAGGUCACUCAGGACUACAGGGAGGGCUGGGUGUGGUUGGUGGGCUGCUAGUCUGUUGGGAGUGAAGGAGAGUAGCAUCCAUAGACUCUGCCAUCCCAGCUGUCUUCAGCCAGCAUGCACACACACUCUGGUCAGUCGCUCCUCUCCAGAGAGGCCAGCAGCUCCCCUCCCACCUCUGUCCCUGGGAGCUUUGUCUCCACUCUCCAGAACUCCAGUUCAUCCUCAGAAAGGUCUCUCUCCAAGGAGAACUCAACCUCAGUGUCCCAGCAGUUGGCUCUGAACCCCUUUCCCAGGACAGUACUCUGGAAAGCACUCUCGGGCCAAAAACUCAACUCAGUGUUUAAAUCUUGAGGAAAGGAGAUACUGAGGCAAGCUUGCUUCCUCCUCCUUUAAAAAAGUAUUAUUCUAGGGAUCAAAUCCUGGGCCUUACACAUGUGAGCCAAGUGCUCUACUACUGAGUCACAGCCCCGUCCAUGUGUGUGUGUGUAUGUGUAUGUGUCUUUGUGUGUUUGUGUCGUGUGUGUGUGUGUGUCUAUGUCAGUGUGUCUCUGUGUCAGUGUCAGUGUGUUUGAGUGUGUGUGAGCGUGCAUGUAUAUCAGCAUGUUUGUAUGUGUAUGUCAGUGUGUAUGUGUGUAUGUCAGUGUGUGUCUGUGUGUGUUCAGACCCAUAGGGUGUGUGUGAAUGCUGGAGGACACCUUCCAGGAGGUAGUUCUUUCUCUCCACCCACCUUGCUGAGGAAGGUUCUCUCAUUUCUUGCCUCUAGUCCUCAAAGAUCUGCUCCAGGCUAGCUGAGAGUCCUGGAUUGCUUCAGAGCAAUCCUCUGGUCUCUGCAUCCCAUCUUACAGUGGGAGCUGGAACUACAGACAUAGGCACCAUCUCCAUCCUUUUACAUGGGCUCCUGAUACCCAGCUUUCAUGGCUAAUGCUUCUACCCACUAAGCUAUCACCCUGGCCCACCCACCAGUCACCUGCAAGGUUUUCAGUGUGAUCACUCCAUGCUGACCAGGGGACAAGGCUCUAUGCAAACAGCUGUACAAAUCAUAAGAGACUCUACAGAAGAUGUAAGAGUGCCCCAGCUCUUCCCUCAACCACAGAUCCAGGUGCCACACACUGCCACUAUGGAUCCAGAGAGAUCAUACAGAGCCACGUGAGAGAAUCUACCACUUGGAAAUCUAGAAGAGGAUGACCUUUGACAUCGGCAUGAGAGAUGCCCAUCACUGUGCCAUUUAUAACAAAACUAGAAAAGAACUCAGGCUCAACUAUAAAGGGAGGAAUGAUCACACUGUUUGCUGGAGACUGGGCCAUAGAGCUGAGAUGUAGAGUACCAAUGUAGACCCUGGUGUGAAUGAUAACCUGGAUUCAACCCCAUACACACCCCAAAAAACAUAGGG